rnacentral:rRNA from 1 species
ACUACUUUGUGAUUCAUGACUGGGGUGAAGUCGUAACAAGGUAACCGUAGGGGAACCUGCGGUUGGAUCACCUCCUUACCUUAAAGAA